rnacentral:rRNA from 1 species
UACAGAGGGGGCAAGCGUUGUUCGGAAUUACUGGGCGUAAAGGGUGCGUAGGCGGGUCUUUAAGUCAGGGGUGAAAUCCUGGAGCUCAACUCCAGAACUGCCUUUGAUACUGAAGAUCUUGAGUUCGGGAGAGGUGAGUGGAACUGCGAGUGUAGAGGUGAAAUGCGUUGAUAUCCAAUGGAACUCCGGUGGCGAAGGCGAGGUGCUGGACCCUUUCUGACGCUGAGGCGCGAAAGCCAGGGGAGCAAACGGG